CUGGACUUCAGAUUUUCAGAUUAGAAUGCUCAACCUGUUGUGUCCUAUGCUAGCACUGUGGAAAAUUCAGAGCCAGCACUGAGAGUGACCUGAACCUGCAUGAAUCUGCAAGGUGUGAAAGCAGCGUCUUGGGAACACGCUCAGAGGACUCUCCACUGCUGUAGGUUGUAGCCAGUGUGGACGAACAUUCUUCCAGGAGCAAGGAUACCACGCCAUCAUGGUAUGGAUGAUCAGACUGAGAAACUCUGGGAAAAACUCAGAGAAAAUGACAUAGCCAUGGAGGAAGGAAGAAUGUUCCAACUCAUCAUUAAAACGUUGUCUAUUACCAGACACUGAGGGUCUGGGAAGCAGAACAAAAUCAUGUUCAACCUUACUGGACAGACCUAUAGGAGGUGCAAAAUACCAUCCGCUUUAAACAGCACCAUAAAAGAUAAUAUAUUAAGAAUCUCAAAGCAGUGAAAAAGCACAUAAGGGGUGAUUAAUCACAUUUAUAAAUCUGUGUAACACUAUGACUCUGUGCCUAUGUAUAAAAUUCAAUUAAGAGAUUAAAAAAUUUGAUUUUAAAAAAAUUUAAUAAGAAAACAGAAAGUACUUUGUUUUCAUGAUAUACUUACGAAUGUAGAAUACAAAAAUGAAAUUAUAAUAGUCUCCAUUUAUAAAAAAUGUGUAUGUAUAUGUGUGUGUAUACACAGAAGUCCAUAUAUGCAAAGUUAGAUGCAUAAAGCUACCAUAAAGUGACAAUAGAACAGAAGUUAAGAUUAGAGGUUUUUUUAUAUUCUUUCUUAUACCAAUUUUCUUUGAUUAUAAUACAUAUAUUUAUAAAUAGAACCACAUUAAGUGAUCUACUUGGAGAGAGAACACAGAGAUAAUUCUUAAGAUUUAUUUUAAAGAUUUAUUUAUUUGUUCAAAAGUCAGUUACAGAGAGAGAAAGAGAGAGAGAGAGAGAGAAACAGAGUGUUCUUCUACCUUCUGGUUCACUCCCCAAAAGACCACAACAACCAGGGCUGGGCCAAGCCAAAGCCAGGAGCCAGGAGCCAGGAACUUCUUCCAGGUCUCCCACAUAGGUGUAGGGGCCCAAGGACUUUGACCAUCUUCUGCUGACUUCUCAGGCUUAUUAGCAGGGAGCUGGAUUGGAAGUGGAGCAGCCAGAAACUGAACUGGUGCCUAUAUGGGAUGCCUGCACUACAGACAGCUGCUUAACCAGCUGUACCAGAGCACCAGCCCCUAAGAG